AGCAGCCGCGGUAAUUCCAGCUCCAAUAGCGUAUAUUAAAGUUGUUGCAGUUAAAAAGCUCGUAGUUGAAUUUCGGGAUCAAUAUGCUGGUCGUGCCAUUGGUACGUACUAGUAUUAUUGGUUUCUCCUUUCUGAUGAAUCAUGAUGUCAUUAAUUUGAUGUCAUGAGGAAUCAGGACUGUUACUUUGAAAAAAUUAGAGUGUUUAAAGCAGGCUCGCGCUUGAAUACAUUAGCAUGGAAUAAUGAAAUAGGAUGUUUGAUUCUAUUUUGUUGGUUUCUAGGAUUGACGUAAUGAUUAAUAGGGAUAGUUGGGGGCAUUAGUAUUCAAUUGUCAGAGGUGAAAUUCUUGGAUUUAUUGAAGACUAACUACUGCGAAAGCAUUUGCCAAGGAUGUUUUCAUUAAUCAAGAACGAAAGUUAGGGGAUCGAAGACGAUCAGAUACCGUCGUAGUCUUAACCAUAAACUAUGCCGACUAGGGGAUCGGAUGAUGUUAAUUUUUUAAUGACUCAUUCGGCGCCUU
rnacentral:misc_RNA from 1 species